rnacentral:rRNA from 1 species
GACGGAGGGUGCUAGCGUUGUUCGGAAUCACUGGGCGUAAAGGGCGCGUAGGCGGCCUUGCAAGUCGGUUGGUGAAAGCCCGGGGCUCAACCCCGGAGGUGCGGCCGAGACUGCAGGGCUGGAGGCCGGAAGAGGAGGGUGGAAUACCCAGUGUAGAGGUGAAAUUCGUAGAUAUUGGGUGGAACACCGGUGGCGAAAGCGGCUCUCUGGGACGGUACUGACGCUGAGACGCGAAAGCGUGGGGGAGCGAACAGG